rnacentral:rRNA from 1 species
CAGUAGCCACGGGAAUACGAAGGGUGCAAGCGUUACUCGGAAUUACUGGGCGUAAAGCGUGUGUAGGUGGUUGUUUAAGUCUGUCGUGAAAGCCCUGGGCUCAACCUGGGAAUUGCGAUGGAUACUGGGCGACUAGAGUGCGGUAGAGGAUAGUGGAAUUUCCGGUGUAGCAGUGAAAUGCGUAGAGAUCGGAAGGAACAUCUGUGGCGAAGGCGACUAUCUGGGCCAACACUGACACUGAGACACGAAAGCGUGGGGAGCAAACAGGAUUAGAUACCCGAGUAGUCCCUGUCUCUUAUAC